CAGUGUUUAUUAGUAAAAUAUACAAGUCAAUAUCAAGGCAAAUAUACAGAUAAUACACGUUAGCAAUACUAAACCUAAAAUAACAAUCAAUGAUAAACAAGCUCUAUCGUUGUAUAGGGGAUAAUGAAUUAUCAUGAGAAAGUAUAAAGUUCAGUUCAAUUCAUGUAGGCUCAGGUAGUUGCUGGUCGAUGUGUUGUAAUUGUUGGAGAGAGAGAGAGAGAGCGAGAGAGAGAGAGAGGACGAUCAAACAGUGACAGCUAUUGUCUUCCAAACCUUCCUUUACUUUCUGGAUCCGUCGUUUCGUUGUGGCCAUUGAGAGCUAUCAAAAGUGAGAUACCUUCCUCCAGAUAAUGGCCUUCCAAAAAACACUUGUCGUCCUGGUGUUUCUCCUGCUGCUUGUUAACACUGAGUUUUCCAAAGCUCAAAUGACCGGACAUUUUGAACACAGAUUAAACAGUAAUGCAGAGGGAAUUUCUUCACAGGAAAAUAUGAGCGAAAGUCUGAGAAGCAGAUUCCGACGACACAACAGAUGGCGAGCUGCCCAAAAGGAACGAGCACUCCCAGCAAUGAUCCAUCGGAAGGAAUUCAGUCUGCCAGAAACUUCAGUCAGACAGACAGACUGAACGACAUACUUUAUGGAUCCCGAAGGAAAUUGGGUCUCGUUACAUUCAUACUAAGCAGGAAUUGUGUAGAAAUAUAGCAAUAUUUAACCAGAAAUAAUUAAAUAAUUAUAAAUUAUGCCAAGUAGAAAUAAUCAGUGAUUCAUAGUCACUUUAUUUGUGACAACAUUAAUUCGUCAUGAGCUAAGUACUGUCUCUGUUAUAGUCUAUUCGUUUACUCUAUUAAUAAUUCAUAUUACAUUUCAAGCAAGGUAAAGGUGCAGAAGGAGGCCAUUCGACCCAUUGAGUCUGCUCUGCCACUCCACCAUGAGCUGAACUAUUCUCCCAUCUAGAUCCAAUUUCCGACUUUUUCCCCAUAUCCCUUGAUACACUGACUAAUUAGAUACCUAUCAAUCUCCUCCUUAAGCACCUUCAAUGAUUGGGCCUCCACACUGUAUGUGGCAACGAAUUCCAUAAUUCCUCCACCAUCUGGCUAAAAAUAUGUACCUUUUGCGAUAAUUUGAUGAGAAUGCCAGUAGGAUAGAUAAAGGGGAUGCAGUGUAUUUUGUAUAUCUGGGCGUUAAGAGGUCCUUUGACACAAGUGCCACACAGAAGGCUGCGCAUUUAAUUAAGAGCCCAUGGUAUUACAAGAAUGUUACUAACAUGGGUAGUACAUUGGCUGAUUGGUAGGAGGCAGCGAGUGGGAAUAAAUGGAUCCUGUUCUGGUUGGCUGCCAGUGGCUAGUGGUGAUCCGCAGGGUUCCUAUGGGGCCACUUACUUUUAUGCUGUAUAUGAUGACUUAGAUGAAGGAAUAGAUGGCUUUCCUGCCAGGUUUGCAGAUAUUAGGAAUAUUGGUGGAGGGACAUGAAAUGUUGAGGAAACAGAUAUUAUAGAAACAUAGAAACACGGAACUACUGCACAAUACAGGCCCUCCAGCCUACAAAGCUGUGCCGAACAUGUCCUUACCUUAGAAAUUUUGCAUUAUGCCGAUGACCUUUUGCUUUAUAUUCCUAAUGUUGAGACUUUAUUAGCUAUCGUACAUUCUUUUGUCUCCAGUUUUAGUCAGUAUUCAGGAUAAGAGUGAACUUAUUCUAUUGAAUCAUUUAGUAUCAAUUAAUACUAACCUUCCUUUUAAAAUUGUAAGAAAUAAACUUACUUAUUUGGAUGGAACAAUUACUAAGAACCAUAAAUAGUUAUUUAAAGAAAAUUUGGGCCUGGGACCCCAAGAUCCCUCUGAUCCUCCUCACUGCCAAGAGUCUAGGCAUUAACUCUACAUUCUGCCAUCAUAUUUGACCUACCAAAAUGAACCAGGCCACACUUAUCUGGGUUGAACUCCAUCUACCAUUUCUCAGCCCAGUUUUGCAUCUUAUUAAUGCCUCAUCUCAUUAAAUUACCUCGUCUCAGUCAUUUAUAAAAAUCACGAAGAGUUGGAGUCCCAGAAUAGAUCCCUGAGGCACAACACUGGACUCUGGCCUCCAUGCAGAAUAUGACCCGUCUCCAAGCACAUUUUGCCUUCUUGGGGUAAGUCAGUUCAGGAUCCACAAAGCAGUGUCUCCUUGGAUCCCAUGUAUCCUUACUUUCUCAUGGGGUUGAGGAGGAGAUAAAACAAAGGAUCAUCAGUGAUUGAAUGGCAGAGCUGAUUCAAUGGGCCAGAUUAUCUCAUUCUGCUCUUAUGUCAUAUGGUCUUAAAUAAGUACGUCUAAAAUUAAUUAUUUAUAAUAAUUUUGUGUUUAAUGGGGACAAUCUCAAGAGCACAGAUAUUAGGUAUGGUGAAUAAAUGUUGCCAAUAUCAGUAGUAACCACUUCCAGUCUUACAAUAAAUGCUAAUGAAGAACACAUUGUUUGUAUGCUUCAUUGAUUGUUAAUUAUUAUUACAAGUGUUGCACUAUUUCACAUUUCUUUAACACACAUUAUACAGUGUUGAACUUCUAUUGGCUGGAACUUUUGGUAGUGACA